UACCUCUGAACCUUGUGAGGCGCUUACGGAGACCUGCUCCAUUCGCCUGCUGUCCCCGGUGGAGUCAGGAACAUCAGAAGAGUCCCAGAGUUGAAGACAAACAUCUGGACAUUAUUCAUCUUCUCCACUAAGGUCCUUCCGAGGUGCUCAUCGAACAUAAUGAGGUUCUUUCAAGUAAGCAUCGUGGCUCUCCUGUCUUUGGUCCUGCUGGGAGAAGAAGUUGCUGGAGGUGCAAUCGCAACUCUAACGUUAGUUAUGGUGGCGCCUCCUUCCACAGAGGCUCCCAAGGCUGCAUACUCCCUUGUCAGUGUAGGAAACAAUUAUAAUAAUUGCGUGGCAGAUGGCAACUGUUGUCGGAAGAACUUUCAAAAUUGGGUGUACUUGGAUUGCUCGAGAGGUUGGGAACAGGGCCUGAAUAAGUACCUGGGAGCAUACAAUGAACAACAGCACUGCUAACGUGGUGAUGAAUAUUAGGCCUUUCCUAUGUCCAGGUUGUCGCUCGUUUAGGCGGCAUCUUUUUUAUAUGUAUAAAACAAUCUCCAUUUUAAGACUUUUUAGGCUUCCACUUUAAUGCUAAGGUGAUCCACUGGGGCCAUGAGUCGCCAAAGGUUAGAGAAGGGGAAAUUAUUAAUAUCAAGUAAUGGGGAUGAAAGCAAAGUCCUUUUCAUCUUGGGUCUAACAUUACACAAAAAA